rfam:Pan troglodytes isolate Yerkes chimp pedigree #C0471 (Clint) chromosome 13, whole genome shotgun sequence.
GUGCUUGCUUCCGCAGCACAUAUACUAAAAUUGGAAUGAUACAAAGAUUAGCAUGACCCCUCCUCAAGGAUGACAUGCAAAUUCAUAAAGCAUUCCAUUUUUUU